UCGAGAAUCUUUCGCAAUGGGCGCAAGCCUGACGAAGCGACGCCGUGUGAGCGAAGAAGGCCUUCGGGUUGUAAAGCUCUUUCGCUAGGGAACAAGAAAGGUUAGAUAACACCUAGCCAAUUUGAUGGUACUUGGUAAAGAAGCACCGGCUAACUCCGUGCCAGCAGCUGCGGUAAUACGGAGGGUGCAAGCAUUGAUCGGAAUUACUGGGCGUAAAGGGCGCGUAGGCGGUUUGAUAAGUCAGAUGUGAAAUUCCGUGGCUCAACCACGGAGCUGCAUUUGAAACUGUCAGACUCGAGUUCAGUUAGGGAAAACGGAAUUCCACGUGUAGCGGUGAAAUGCGUAGAUAUGUGGAAGAACACCGGUGGUGAAGACGGUUUUCUGGGCUGACACUGACGCUGAGGCGCGAAAGCAAGGGGAGCAAACAG
rnacentral:rRNA from 1 species